GCGUGAUCCCAUUGCGGACAUACGUGAUUCUAGCAACCAUCUGUUGAACACCUUGGUGAUUUCCCCACCGAUGGUGCUCCUCUUGUCCUCCUGGAUGCCACGGAACUCAACAAUGAGAGCGAUUACUCUCUUUGCCAUCAGAAUCCUCCGACGACUCCCCCAGCGCCUUCCCCAUCUCCUCCGGUCGCAGUUUAGCCACCGCCCGGCCCGUCUCCUCCAUGUGGCGAAACAACAACGUCCGCCCAUCCGCUGCGUGCUCAGCUACCAAAGCUGUGAGGUCCACUUGGGUUAGAAACUGUUGUUGGACCACCUCCAUCACCUUGAUCUUCCACACCAAGAGCCUAGAAUCUCAAUUUCGCAGUGGAAUUGGAAGAGAAACCUGCUCCCAAUUCCAUGCUGAGGUACACUAGCUACCACACCAACUAGGGACAGAUCGUGCAGAGCGCCGUCUGGUUACGGCCAGGCGGUCAGCUGCCAGCACUACCCCCUUGUGCGAGUGCAUAGGCGUACCUUCGCGAGAUGCGGAUGGGGGAGCUGAGGAGGUCGUCAUGCGUGAGUUGAGGAGACAGGAGACCGUUUCGGAUCUGGGGCAAGUUGUGCGGUCCUGCCGCCUGUAGUAGGGUGUGCUUUGCGCGAGGCAGAGGAGGGGGUGAGGAAGAGCGGGGUGGCGGGCGACGGUGGGUGCGCGAGUGCGAGGUGGAGGUGGUGGGUGGCAGUACCGUGCGCGAGGGAGAGGAGGCUUCACGAACGAGAGGAGGAGGCGGCGGCUUGCACGGGAGGGGACGCGGGGAAGCCCUUCCCGACCCUAUGAGGCCCUAGACCAAAGCACU
rnacentral:lncRNA from 7 species